CCUGACACUGAAUGCUCAAAAACCUCACACUUGAAAAAUCACACCUGUGAUCUCUCCAAGCUCUGUAAAUCCUUAAGAUUUGAAAAUGAAACAACUCUCAAGCCAUGAAAUUGAAAUUCCCUUCACCUGCAUGAAAUCAUGCUGAACGGCCAUGCAUGGAGACAGGCAGGGCAGGGGCUGCCCAGCCAGCUGGAGAGGAGGCACGCCAGGAAGUCCAGUAAAUGCUUCUAAGCUGAGUUAAGCUUUGUGUUGCAACUGGAUUACCAAGAAGUCCAUUAGCGGUCCUGCAAAGGCAUCCAGACUUGAUGAGGAUGACAAGCAUCUUUUUUACCUCGUGGAGUGGCUGAGAUUGCCACUGCCUGCAAGGUCUCCUUGACAAGUAUGGAAAGGACAGCCACACUAGCUAUAGAGAUUCCUUUUUAACUGAGGUGUAAUCAGUCUGAGUAAUGGAAAAAGAAUCAAGCAUCAUCUACAGGAACAGAGAGUACUACAAUACUUACAACAUGGUAGUGCCUGGUUCCUGAAUCAUUUGUGGUGCACCUGCCAAAGAAAAUGUUAAAUGGAUAGGUGUGAUAACUAAUGCUUAGAGUAUAUCAAAUAUAUCCCUUCUACAGUAUACAUGACCUUCGCAUUCUGUACAGGAGUCUUUGCUCCAUCCAGUUACCAGAGAUAUUUAAAUUUAGAAAGGUAAAUUUUCUUAAGUCUUUGUAGGGUUAGAAAUUCCAUUUCCAUGAAAAACCGUGCCUCUAUAUGGAAGUUCUAGGCCCAAUUUACUAAGAGUUCAUGACACUAUGAUCAAAAACCAGCAGCCUAUAAG